rnacentral:rRNA from 1 species
GAACGCUGGCGGCGUGCUUAACACAUGCAAGUCGAGCGAAGCGCUUAUGAUUGACUUUUCGGAGGAUUUCAUUUGUGACUGAGCGGCGGACGGGUGAGUAACGCGUGGGUAACCUGCCUCAUACAGGGGGAUAACAGUUAGAAAUGACUGCUAAUACCGCAUAAGCGCACAGUACCGCAUGGUACAGUGUGAAAAACUCCGGUGGUAUGAGAUGGACCCGCGUUUGAUUAGCUAGUUGGUGAGGUUAACGGGCCCACCAAGGCGACGAUCAAUAGCCGACCUGAGAGGGUGACCGGCCACAUUGGGACUGAGACACGGCCCAAACUCCUACGGGAGGCAGCAGUGGGGAAUAUUGCACAAUGGGGGAAACCCUGAUGCAGCGACGCCGCGUGAGUGAUGAAGUAUUUCGGUAUGUAAAACUCUAUCAGCAGGGAAGAUAAUGACGGUACCUGACUAAGAAGCACCGGCUAAAUACGUG